CAUCCUGAAUCUCAUGUGAAGAAAUAGUGAUUGUGGCCAUCGUUUUAAGCUGAUUUGGCAUCCUGUGGUGCGAGACAUUGACCUGAGAAACCCUGAUGGGACAGCUGGUUGUAGACUCACAGAUUGUGGCAGACUGUCCCAAACAUUCUCCGAGAUCGCAAACUGGACAGAUUAGUUUAGCCCUCUAAGACUGACAAGGAGGAAGCGCGCAGUGAGGUAACGAUGAUGUAAAAUGAAUCAUUGUCGUGUUCCAGUCGGAGGCAAGAAAGCAACCAUGCCCCGCCACCCCACCCUCCCACAAACACACCCCUGUUGGGAUAUUGGCAAAUUGUCAUGACGACAGGGAUGUUCUCCUGAUGAAGUCUCGCAUAGCGCUGUCCAAUCAGAUCGUGGAGCUACAACCGCAGCGUGAACAGGGGAGGACGCACCUAUUCCAGUUGCACAAUGCUGAGAAAGGACAGGCGAAACCCUGGACCACCAACGGGAAAUUGGCGAUCCGGGGGAGGCUGUCAAUGGGCUGCCAUGGUUCGACAAUACACAAACAGCGGGGGUCGUGGAUACAGGGGCUGCCAGGGUACAAAGCGAGGCGUCGACGGCCAGCCAUGGGAAAGAGCAGCGGACAAGGUGGCUCUGCUGGCAGUGCCCAGGGCUCCCAUGGGGCCGAGAGCUGCCUGAAGUAGAGAGUCAAGGACGCUGAAGGAUGACAAGGGACAGCUGGAGAAGCAGAGGACUUUUCACUCUCUGAGCAGACACUAUGGACUGCAGUCAACACCGGUUGGAGAUGCAUUCCUCAUUCCUUGAAUGCACACAGAAAUGCUCAGCGCUCUGGCAUCAGCACUUCUUAAAAUGGGCUGCUGCCACCGCUGCUCCAGCUGGAGCUCCAGCACUUUUCUCCCCCUCCAAAAUCCUGGACAGAGAAGAAGAGAUGAGAGUGGGAGGAAAAUCCACUAAAUCCGCCAAACUCAGGAAUGUAUUUUCAUUAAAACAAGUUUGUUUGAAGGGAUUGGGAAGGUGGAGGAGAGAGAGGCAGUAUCAGUACUGAUCAGAUCCAAUAGCUCAAUGGCUGCACAGUGCUACAAGUAUUAGAGAAGCAGAGAAUGAGGAUACAUUACAUAUUCUGUAGACUUGAGACUUGAUUUGGCUGCAGGACUUGCUAACAGGAGUUUAUUAGUUAUCUAAGGAGAAAGCUCCUGUCUCAAAUCCCUGAUUCGCUGCUUGUCGCUAGGUAGAUUGAGGAAUAGUGUUUCUAUAUGUAUGUGAGUGCAUGCUGAUGUGUGUGUGCAUGUGUGUAUGUCACUUCUACCAGUAGCUAAAGCCAUCAUCCCUCUAGAUCUUCCAAUAUCCAGUCCACACACGUCUAGAUUUAUUUCUCGCCCUGGUCAGUGUCCAGGAGGUAAUUACCAACCAAGAAAACACAGGACUUCCUGGAAGAAGCUUAUCGGAAUACACACACCAUCCACUGUCUUAAAUGGGACUGGCAAGCUGGGACUGACAACACAGAGCUACAUUAUCGCCCUCUACCCCCUACAGUUGGGUACCUGGUUUUCUCUCUUUAUAUACACAAAAAAGGUAUGGCGACAGUUUUUCCUCCACCUUGUCUGGCCUUUUCUCUUAAAGCUGCACUACGUCAAUGUUUUUAUGAUGAGUAAGUGAGAAAAGCGACUAAGUCUUUCACGAUGAAAGGUGUCGGAGGGACGAAUCCGACUCCUCAGCUCUAUGAAGCAUUUUAGCGUCUUUGAGCGUGUUGUUUUGGUUUUUACGGCUUACAACUUUACUGUUUUGGUUCAGUCUCAACGCUCACAUCAACCUUGUUUCCAGCAGUAAAUCCACUGUAUGCUAACUGCCCAACACCAAACAGCAGACAAAGUUAGCAGCUGUCUGGUAAACACAGUGGAGCAUUUAGCAGCUAAGGCAUCAAUUAACACAGGUUUAAAGAAUAAUUCUGGUUUACUUUGACUUGGGUCUUAUUUUCACAGUUUCGACCAUCACUCUUGUCAGUAAUAAGAUUGUACUCACCAACGUAAUGACUGAGAUCUGUGACAUUAAAAAUAAGUUCAACAGGGAAAGAAACACAACACAACAGUCAGACAGAUUUUAAUCACACCCCCAGGAGAGCCAAACUUAUUUGGAAGGGGAAAUGAAGGCUAACAGGGGAAUUAUUGUUAACUGUCUGUUAUAAACAUUUAUCACAGUUUAAAUUUCAGUUUUACCUCCAAAUAAAUAUGUUUUAACUGUUGACUUGUUAACAAGUCUGAUCGUCUCACCACCGUUUUUUGCCCCGUUUGACAGUUGUAGCGAUUUCACCAUGUUCCUAGAUCUCAGCAAUUAAUUAUGUGAGCACAAUGUUAUAAUAACUGACAAAAAUUACAGCCAAAUCUACAAAAAUGAGACCCAAGUUGUAAUAAACUAGAAUUAUCAUUUAACACCUAAGCCAGGUGUCUACGUAGGCAUUUCACCACAGGGCAGUAGCAUCAGAUCCUGCCUGUAUUUUGGCGGACACAUCUCUCUCCCUAUCUGUUUCAGCACUUUGUUAUCUGUCUCAAAAAACUCCCAGAGGGUGUAUAAUAUCACCUAACAGACUGAAACCAGGAAGAAAUGUAUCAAUCAAUAUCAUUCUGUGGUUUCGGUAAUCCCCGCCUAAGUGUAAUAGACUGCUGAGAUCCACUUUUUUCUACAAGCUGACUCAAUCAGAUGAACGGACCCACCAGGCCUUUUUGGCUGCUCCUCCCUGGUUGCUCUGCCCUUGAUCAGCCCAGGGUGGUGGAUGCACAUGGGGACCACCCCUGGAUUAAAAGAGCCUAUUGCUAAACAUACACAAACACACAGAGAACUGCAUAUGUGCAUGAUUACAUGUACACAGAAACAGGAGGGAACAUCAUAUGGCAGAAUAAUAUGAAGCUAAUUUGAUGAUACACAAGAAUACACACAAAUUGAAAUAUCUAUCCAUCACCGAAUGUGUGUACACAUUUACUGAGGCAUGUGUGCGAAUACAUUGCCAAAUAGUUACACGUGCAUGCGUAUUUCACAGAGAGACGUCAUCAAAACAUAACAUAUGAAUCCCCAUUCAUCCCAAACACACACCAGCACACAAAUAAACACAGAAAAGGCCAGAAAUUAGAGCAGGAAUGACAGACACCAACACACACAGACGCAGAGGGGGUACCCCUCAUCAAAACACUCCACAGUGUGAUGUGCGAUGGUUUCUUAGCCCACUGGUGAUGAUGAGGCGUAAGCCGACACCUUGAUGUCGUGAUGCUGCUGUCCAACAGUGGGCUGCAAUGUGCAGGCCAGAUGAGGCCAGCCAUUCGCUCAGCAUCACUACCACAUACAGUACAACUCCCACAAGACCUUCUGAGACACCUCUUGUCAAUCUCCCUCUGUCUUUCUCCUUCUCGCUCCCUCUCUCGGCUGUUGCCAUGGGGUGCAGGAGGGCGAUGGAGGGCGUUUGAAGGCUGGCGCAGAGAGGGAGGGGCUGGAAGAUGGAGAGAAAAGAAUGUGGCAGUGGAGAAAGAUAGGGAUGAAGGAGAGUGAG